ensembl:lncRNA
AAAAGGAAAGGAUGUGGGUAACAGCCAAGGCGGGGGAAGGGACAGACACAGUAAGCUGGUCCAACCAAGGACCAACUCUCCACACAGAGAGGCACUGAAGCAUUCAUUUGCCAUCCAGAUAAUCUCUGUAGAGUGGUUUUCCACCUGCUGGUGACCUUCAUUUGUGAUAUCAAGAAAAGAUUAGAGUCCCUAGGAAAGCAAGAGGAUGACUCUCCAUUCCUGCUUUUUCGAGUCAAGACAAGGCUACUAGUAUUUCAGGAUGUUUCUGCAGUAGAGUGGUUUGUACAUAAGAGGAAUGAAUACUACUGUGCUGCAACAAGAACAGAAAGUCCAGAAAUCCCACUUUGAAGGACUCUGCACACAAAGAAGAAACUGCCUAAGGAGGACAAGUGGCGACUCAGAAAAUGCUGAUAUCAGAAUGUUCCGAAGAUCUACCCACUAGAAAGCCAAGGUUUUAAGGACUUGAUUUGCAAGAGAAGGCAGGAGUUUAGGACUUCAUGUGAACCAACAAAGUUUGGCAAUAACAACUUGCAAUGUAUGGAAUCACUUCCAGGAGAUAUUAAAGAAAAACAUUUGCUAUUUGCACACCUGACUGUUCUCCAAAUGAGGAGAGCUCAUUAAGAAGCCUGCUGAAGUUCUACAUUGGCUACUCCAAAAGUAAUGCCUUCUAUGUUAUUAUAUUGGCACGACAGUAGAAGUUGAACCUUCCUACCAAUAUUCCGUUACAUUUUGUUGCUGUGACAGAAGCAUUAGAGGGGCAGCCUGACAAAAUGGCAUCUGACAUGAAAGUGCAUAUGAAACAAAGGUCUGUCAUUUAAUUCUUCUAUGUGGAAAAAACUGCACCUAUUGACUUUCACUGACACUUGCUGAAUGCCUAUGGAGACCAAUCAGUGGAUGUGAGCACAGCGAGGUGGAGACUUCUUAAUUUGAAGUUGAAAUUAAAAAAAAUAAAAAAUAACUGAAUUAUGGCCUCUAAACUAGCUACAGAGGCUGUUUACAAACAGACAUUUUCCUUUUAUGAAGCUAUCUUUGAUAUAUUUUAGGUUAAGUUGUAUUUACUGGGUUUAGUCCUCUUAAAACUAUUUCAAGAUCUAAUACUUUAAUGUCUGUGAUGAGGAGAUAAGAUUGCAAACACUAUGUCCAAGAGAAAGAAAAAGCUGAACUUCAAAUCAGCCCAUCUGAUAUCAGUCUGGAGAAACACAUCACAUGAGUAGUAGAGACAUAAAGCUACUGUGUCUUUUUCCCCCUCAAAAGAGAUGUUUUUUGCCCUCUGAGUCACAAAAGCAGCUGAAGCACUAAGUUCACUCCUCACAGCAUUGGAAAAAAUGAGAAGAUGGAUAAGAAGCACUACAUUUUGACUUAAGAAAAAGGAUUUUUUUUUUUUAAUGUCAACAAUACACAAUGUCAAGAAAUUUUUAGUACCAACUGGUGUCUGCUAAAGCUAUUUAUCUGUGUUUGCCUUCCUCCUAGAAUGUAUCAGUCUUUUUUUUGUUGUUGUUUUUUUAAUCCUCAUGAUAGUGUUGAGAAAGAAUGAUCAGAUUUUGCAACUCAAGUUGCACAAGCAGACCUAUGUGGUUACAAUCUUAUGAGAGAGAGGUAUGAGAAGUCAAUACCUCAAGACUGCAACUAAUUUAAACUCCAGAUGACUCUAAACACUAGUCUGGUAUCUUAUCUCUUUCAGCAGAAAGUAUGUCAGUCUGCAAUGUCAAUCUCCUGGUGCUGCAACUGUAGAAUGAAAUCCUUACAUCGACAUCAUUGAAAACUAAAAACUCAGUCUAUUUCAAUGUCAAUAUUACACAAUACCAUUCUUUCAUUAUCUUAGAAGAACAAAAAUAUUUAAAAUUAUAUCCAAUUUGAACUCCCUUUCUGCGUAUUUUGGCUGCAGUAAAAAGCAA